rnacentral:rRNA from 1 species
UACGGGGGGGGUAAGCGUUGUUCGGAAUUACUGGGCAUAAAGCGCACGUAGGCGGUCCGUUAAGUCAUGUGUGAAAUCCCCCGGCUCAACCGGGGAAUUGCGCCUGAUACUGGCGGGCUAGAGGUCGAUAGGGGUGAGCGGAACUCCAGGUGGAGCGGUGAAAUGCGUAGAUAUCUGGAGGAACACCGGUGGCGAAGGCGGCAUCCUGGACCAACACUGACACUGAGGAGCGAAAGCCAGGGGAGCAAACGGG